rnacentral:rRNA from 1 species
GAUGAACGCUGGCGGCGUGCCUAAUACAUGCAAGUCGAGCGAACAGACGAGGAGCUUGCUCCUCUGACGUUAGCGGCGGACGGGUGAGUAACACGUGGAUAACCUACCUAUAAGACUGGGAUAACUUCGGGAAACCGGAGCUAAUACCGGAUAAUAUAUUGAACCGCAUGGUUCAAUAGUGAAAGACGGUUUUGCUGUCACUUAUAGAUGGAUCCGCGCCGCAUUAGCUAGUUGGUAAGGUAACGGCUUACCAAGGCGACGAUGCGUAGCCGACCUGAGAGGGUGAUCGGCCACACUGGAACUGAGACACGGUCCAGGCUCCUACGGGAGGCAGCAGGAGGGAAUCUUCCGCGAUGGGCGAAAGCCUGACGGAGCAACGCCGCGUGAGUGAAGAAGGUCUUCGGAUCGUAAAACUCUGUUAUUAGGGAAGAACAAAUGUGUAAGUAACUAUGCACGUCUUGACGGUACCUAAACAGAAAGCCACGGCUAACUACGU